CCUACGGGUGGCAGCAGUGGGGAAUAUUGCACAAUGGGGGAAACCCUGAUGCAGCGACGCCGCGUGAGUGAAGAAGUAUUUCGGUAUGUAAAGCUCUAUCAGCAGGGAAGAAAAUGACGGUACCUGAUUAUGAAGCAGCGGCUAACUACGUGCCAGCAGCCGCGGUAAGACGUCGGGGGCAAUCGUUAUCCGGAUUUACGGGGGGUAAGGGGUGAGUAGGCGGAAUGCCAAGUUAGCGGUAAAAUCGCGGGGCACAACCUCGCUCCGCCGUUGAAACUGGCGUUCUUGAGUGGGCGAGAAGUAUGCGGAAUGCGUGGGGUAGCGGUGAAAUGCAUAGAUAUCACGCAGAACUCCGAUUGCGAAGGCAGCAUACCGGCGCCCAACUGACGCUGAAGAACGAAAGCGUGGGUAUCGAACAGGAUUAGAUACCCCAGUAGUC
rnacentral:rRNA from 1 species